rnacentral:rRNA from 3 species
UAAUGUUUGAUGUUCUAACGUGGACCCGUAAUCCGGGUUGCGGACAGUGUCUGGUGGGUAGUUUGACUGGGGCGGUCUCCUCCUAAAGAGUAACGGAGGAGCACGAAGGUUGGCUAAUCCUGGUCGGACAUCAGGAGGUUAGUGCAAUGGCAUAAGCCAGCUUGACUGCGAGCGUGACGGCGCGAGCAGGUGCGAAAGCAGGUCAUAGUGAUCCGGUGGUUCUGAAUGGAAGGGCCAUCGCUCAACGGAUAAAAGGUACUCCGGGGAUAACAGGCUGAUACCGCCCAAGAGUUCAUAUCGACGGCGGUGUUUGGCACCUCGAUGUCGGCUCAUCACAUCCUGGGGCUGAAGUAGGUCCCAAGGGUAUGGCUGUUCGCCAUUUAAAGUGGUACGCGAGCUGGGUUUAGAACGUCGUGAGACAGUUCGGUCCCUAUCUGCCGUGGGCGCUGGAGAACUGAGGGGGGCUGCUCCUAGUACGAGAGGACCGGAGUGGACGCAUCACUGGUGUUCGGGUUGUCAUGCCAAUGGCACUGCCCGGUAGCUAAAUGCGGAAGAGAUAAGUGCUGAAAGCAUCUAAGCACGAAACUUGCCCCGAGAUGAGUUCUCCCUGAGACUUAGAGUCUCCUGAAGGAACGUUGAAGACGACGACGUUGAUAGGCCGGGUGUGUAAGCGCAGCGAUGCGUUGAGCUAACCGGUACUAAUGAACCGUGAGGCUUAACCUUACAACGCCGAAG